rnacentral:lncRNA from 1 species
ACGGAACAUUUACAUAACACUAGGUAAACAAGUUAUACAACAUUAGUAUGCAUGUUGUGAUUGUGAUGAUCAAACUUGAGAAAAAUAAUUCCGACCGUCAGAUCUGACCAUCAUGACAAAAUACAUGUAUGGGAAAAAAUUCAACUUGAUCCGACAAGAAUAGGGGCUCGAUCCGGACGGUCAAUCUCGUAAGUCAAACCCCUAAACGCACGGAAAAGGUCGUUCGACCAUCUAAAUUAAGUAUUUUGGCCGGACCUCCAACUGAAAAUAGUUUUAAAUCGAUGACACGCAAUAAGUCGUAUAAAAAUUUUACGCAAAAUAACCACCGAAUAUAGGGCUACUCAUAGGGGAAAGAAUGAAAAAUUGCAUUGACCGCAACUAUCGGCACCGAAUAUUUACCGGAAUAGUGUGAUUUUUCAACCGUGGAUGUAUUUCAACAUUCUCGUCAUAUCUUAUUUCAUGACUUUUUGGCGUUUGAAGGUUUUACGUAUAGUUUCUUUUUGAAACGGAACAUUUACAUAACACUUGGUAAACAAGUUAUACAACAUUAGUAUGCAUGUUGUGAUUAUGAUGAUCAAACUUGAGAAAAAUAAAUCCGACCGUCAGAUCUGACCAUCAUAACAAAAUACAUGUAUGGGAAAAAAUUCAACUUGAUCCGACAAGAAUAGGGGCUCGAUCCAGACGGUCAAUCUCAUAAGUCAAACUCCUAAACGCAUGGAAAAGGUCGUUCGACCGUCUAAAUUACGUAUUUUGGCCGGACCUACAACUGAAAAUAGUUUCAAACCGAUGAGACGCAAGAAGUCGUCUAAAAAUUUUACGGAAAAUAACAACCGAAGAUAGGGCUAUAGUAGGUAAUAGAAAAAUUUUAGGGUUUAGCCGACGAAUACCCUAACGUAUUCGUCGGCUAUAGUAUGUAAUUAAAAAAUAAAAAAAUAACUAAAGCCGACGAAAUAUUAGGUUAUUCGUCGGCUAAAACUUUAUUAGCCGACGAAAUACACUAUAAUUCGUCGGCUAAGAUGGUUUUAACCGACGAAAUAUACUAUAUUUCGUCGGCUAAGAUGGCUUUAGCCGACGAAAUACACUAUAAUUCGUCGG